UUUAUGCUUUGAGGAUCGGUGACUAUGACCUUUGAGAUAAUGUGCCUUCUCCCUUCCUUCCCCAGGUCACAAAGUGGUACCUGACCUCAGCAUGCCAUUUCAAUCAUGGUGAAGAGGAAAGCUAUUCCAUCACUAUAACUCUGCAUCGGCAAAUUUCAUGCUACACCUCUUGCUACCUGUUCUCUCCCCAGCAGGUACCGAGGUGCAGAACCAUCAUAAGCAGCAUCCUCUGAGCAGUGGAUAAAUUAUUAUGUCGCCACAGCUAGUCUCGACCAGCACAGAUCUUCUGACUGCCCUGACCUGUGCUUGUGAGCCUGCAGCACUGUGCAUUCCAUUGUGCUCCCAUCUCUGAUUGUACGAGGGAUAAAUUCUUGUAAACUAAAAUUUGCAUUGCCCGAGACCUGGAGGUGACACUUGCCGGCGGCUUGUUAGCCACAAGAGGGAGUCCGUAUUACUGGGAAGGAGAAGACGAAGUCAUUUGAGGUCAAAUUGUUUCUUCAGACCAAACUGCCUUUGGCCUUUAUUCAGCCAAAACUACAAUACAUACCAAUGGCCACGGCUGACGAGUAUGGCAUUUUUGCAAGACUAGUGAAUACAGAACUUCCAGCUUCAGUUAAUGUCGAAGAAAAGGAACUUUGGCAUGACAACAGUUCAGCACAGGAAGACUGAGAAAACUGUAUGUGUACAAAUGAUAAGUGUGAUCCAGCCAACUGCAGAAAUAAACCUGAGGAUUGUACUCCACUCAGCCAGUUAAACAAAAUCGUUACUGGCAGACACUUUAUAUAGUACAGUGAGCAAGUUCAAUGCAGUGCCUCAAUGUUUUGAUAGAUUUGAAGAAAAAGCAAAUCAACAGUAUAAAAUCUGACUGCAUGAGGUGUUUACAAAACCUGACUGCAGACAGCAACAGCCUUUCAGUGGCCUCACUGGGCUUGGAUUGUGUUGGGCUCCAGCAAGAUGAGAGAGUGAAAGGAGGUAUCCUCAAGGAUUAAAGAGCCGUGAUAGUGAAGGUGUGCACUAGCAUGUCCGAGGCCUUCUCACAUGAUUUACAGCACACACUUGCAAAAGGGGGGAUGUAAAUUUGUGACUUCUGUUAAAUCCAUCUGUGACAUCUAGAAACAGUAAAAAGUCCAUAUUCAUAUGUCAGGAAUCUCCCUUUUCCAAACAUGACAGCUAUUCCAAUUUGAAAUACGUCACUCCAAAAUGUAGUAAACAUCACACUAACUACUGCAGUGAAUAGAUUUUAUGUUCAGAAAAUAUCAACAAAGUUGGAACUUAGUGGCUCUAAUAUUAAAAAAAAAAGUAAAUAUAUGAGGACCUGUCCAGAAGUUUAGUAAAAGCAGAGCUUUUUAAACAAAUGCACAUGCUGGUGUAAGGUUAAAAGGGCAAGAACAGAAUAUGGACAAAUUUAUGAGGAAGUGAGAAGAUUUCUAACCAAGGCAGCGGGGUUCCCACGGUGGGAGUAGUGGCAACAACAAUCCUAGCAGAGUACAGGACACAGCUCAGCUCAUCAGCCUGCUCAUGUUUCUGCAGUUCCCUGUUCAUACUCUGUUUCUUUGAUUAAGUCACCACCGAUCUCACACAACACAAGAUCCAAGGCCUACAUUAAUGAUGAAAGAGUGCAGGGUGAAAGAUAUGGGGCUUUCUGAUGUGUCCUAAAGGCACCCAUGUCAUUAUCAGAAAGCGCCAGGGACAGAAGUGGUUGGUUACACGACAAACUGCACCAAGCUCAGUGGGAUCAGAAACAAGGAAUCUCAGGUUGGAUUCCCAGAAAAGAACUCACAUUUAAUUCUCUGUUCAGAAAACCUCUUGAACAUUUUAGAUGUACAUAAAUGACCAUAUUUUUCCUUUUUCUGUGCUCUACGUCUCAGAUAAAUUUGCCUCUUCAAUAACAUAAAAAAAAGGAUCCUACUAUACAGAAGUUAUUUAAUCUGAAAGAAAGUGAGCUCAUAGUCAUGAAGCUAUUAAACACUGAUGGAUUAUAAAUAGCAUAAAAUAUUAUGCCUUGUAAUAACAACCUUUUUAGAAAACAUACACUCAUAUAUUUGUGAUAUUUUUAAAAGUGUCCUUGAAUUAACUGCUUAAACAAAUCAUUCCCAGUGAUACUUGUGGUCCAGAUUGAGACUGUGCUGCCAGUGAAAACAUACAUGGCAUUGGCUGAAAACAUAUUCACACAAAAGUGGUUUCUUCAUCUUCAGCACUCCGAUUUGAAUGAAACAAGCAUAAGUAAUAAAGGCUAUUAGGCUUCAAAAUAA